rnacentral:rRNA from 1 species
UACGUAGGGUGCGAGCGUUGUCCGGAUUUAUUGGGCGUAAAGCGAGCGCAGGUGGUUUAAUAAGUCUGAUGUAAAAGGCAGUGGCUCAACCAUUGUGUGCAUUGGAAACUGUUAGACUUGAGUGCAGUAGAGGAGAGUGGAAUUCCAUGUGUAGCGGUGAAAUGCGUAGAUAUAUGGAGGAACACCGGUGGCGAAAGCGGCUCUCUGGUCUGUAACUGACGCUGAGGCUCGAAAGCGUGGGGAGCAAACAGG